rnacentral:rRNA from 1 species
GUGUCAGCAGCCGCGGUAAGACAGAGGGUGCAAACGUUGCUCGGAAUUACUGGGCGUAAAGCGCGUGUAGGCGGACUGGUAAGUCGGACGUGAAAUCCCUGAGCUCAACUCAGGAACUGCAUCCGAAACUAUCAGUCUGGAGUGGUGGAGAGGGAAGCAGAAUUCCUGGUGUAGAGGUGAAAUUCGUAGAUAUCAGGAGGAACACCGGUGGCGAAGGCGGCUUCCUGGACACUAACUGACGCUGAGACGCGAAAGCGUGGGGAGCAAACAGGAUUAGAUACCCUCGUAGUCC